GACGAACGCUGGCGGCGUGCCUAAUACAUGCAAGUUGAGCGCUGAAGGUUGGUACUUGUACCAACUGGAUGAGCAGCGAACGGGUGAGUAACGCGUGGGGAAUCUGCCUUUGAGCGGGGGACAACAUUUGGAAACGAAUGCUAAUACCGCAUAAAAACUUUAAACACAAGUUUUAAGUUUGAAAGAUGCAAUUGCAUCACUCAAAGAUGAUCCCGCGUUGUAUUAGCUAGUUGGUGAGGUAAAGGCUCACCAAGGCGAUGAUACAUAGCCGACCUGAGAGGGUGAUCGGCCACAUUGGGACUGGGACACGGCCCAAACUCCUACGGGAGGCAGCAGUAGGGAAUCUUCGGCAAUGGACGAAAGUCUGACCGAGCAACGCCGCGUGAGGGAAGAAGGUUGUCGGACCGUAAAACUCUGUUGGUAGAGAAGAACGUUGGUGAGAGUGGAAAGCUCAUCAAGUGACGGUAACUACCCAGAAAGGGACGGCUAACUACGUG
rnacentral:rRNA from 1 species